AUUGAACGCUGGCGGCAGGCCUAACACAUGCAAGUCGAGCGGAUGAAGGGAGCUUGCUCCUGGAUUCAGCGGCGGACGGGUGAGUAAUGCCUAGGAAUCUGCCUGGUAGUGGGGUAUAACGUCCGGAAACGGGCGCUAAUACCGCAUACGUCCUGAUGGAGAAAGUGGGGGAUCUUCGGACCUCACGCUAUCAGAUGAGCCUAGGUCGGAUUAGCUAGUUGGUGGGGUAAAGGCCUACCAAGGCGACGAUCCGUAACUGGUCUGAGAGGAUGAUCAGUCACACUGGAACUGGGACACGGUCAAGAGUACUAAGGGAGGCAGCAGUGGGGAAUGUUAGACAGUAGGCGAGAGCCUGAUACAGCCAUGCCGCGUGUGUGAAGAAGGUGUUCGGAUUGGAAAGCACUUUAAGUUGGGAGGAAGGGCAGUAAGCUGAUACCUUGCUGUUUUGACGGUAACAACAGAAUAAGCACCGGCUAACUUCGUG
rnacentral:rRNA from 1 species